rnacentral:Y_RNA from 1 species
GGCUGGUCCCAAGGUAAUGCGUUAUCUCGUUUAGUUUUCAGUCAGAUGUAGGUCAAACUUCUGGUUCUACUCUUCUUAUUACUGCACUUGAUUAGUUUUUA